rnacentral:rRNA from 1 species
AGCGAACGCUGGCGGCAGGCCUAACACAUGCAAGUCGAACGGAUCCUUCGGGAUUAGUGGCGGACGGGUGAGUAACACGUGGGAACGUGCCCUUUGGUUCGGAACAACUCAGGGAAACUUGAGCUAAUACCGGAUGUGCCCUUCGGGGGAAAGAUUUAUCGCCAUUGGAGCGGCCCGCGUCUGAUUAGCUAGUUGGUGAGGUAAAGGCUCACCAAGGCGACGAUCAGUAGCUGGUCUGAGAGGAUGAUCAGCCACACUGGGACUGAGACACGGCCCAGACUCCUACGGGAGGCAGCAGUGGGGAAUCUUGCGCAAUGGGCGAAAGCCUGACGCAGCCAUGCCGCGUGAAUGAUGAAGGUCUUAGGAUUGUAAAAUUCUUUCACCGGGGACGAUAAUGACGGUACCCGGAGAAGAAGCCCCGGCUAACUUCGUGCCAGCAGCCGCGGUAAAAC